UCUCAAAACAUUUAAGGCAAGAAAUAAGCUAUGCAGAUGCUGAAUCUGUCUUCAUUUCAAACUGACAACAGCCAUUUUAAAAGAUUUUCAGGGGUUUAUCGAGAGGCUGCAGAUUUAUGCAAAUGAGGAGUGGGCAACUCGACGCAACAAUCUUCGGAAAGUUGCGACGAUGCUACCCGAAUGCAUUGACCAGCUGCUUACAUAGCCAUUGACUGGGAAGCGUGGAAAUGACGCUGCCUGUGAAGACGUAGCUUUACUCUUUAACUGGUCCAGCGCCCCUAUUAGGAAAAAGUGAAACAGUGAAUCUGGCAUAAUCACGUAAAAACCGCUAGCACGCUUUGUCUAUUUCUCCAGAGUGUUUCUGUCUGCAGUCCAAUUUUGUGUUAUCAGGCACACAGGUCAACCUCUUUUCUUCCUGUCGCCAAGCUCUGUGGUGGAAAAACACAGCCCAGCUGUGCCGGAUCAAUGGAAAGCGCCACCCAGUGUUAAGCAUUGGAGGUAAUAGCCUGCAUUUUUAGUCAGAGUACAUGAAAAUGCUCUCCCUGGCACUGUUGGAACUGUCAUACACAGCUUGUGCAUUGUAUGACAAGGAAGUCCCAUUGUAGAAACAGUAACAGUUAAAGAGACCAACAAAGACAAAGCCCUCAAGGGCCUGACACUCUGAUCCAUGGCUACCAAAGAGCCAAACAGAAGCAACACCACUGGACAUUUAGGUUUGAGAGCUGAGGGGAAAAAAAUCAAUGUUUGCAUUAAUUAUACCCUACACUAUACCAAAAGAUGGAUAUACACUCUUGUUCAUAUAUGCGAAUGGAUAUGAGAAACGGGCAUUAAGUUAACUACUCCCAGCGGACAGGGAGGUUUAACUGGUCUUUUCCUAUGGAUCAGUUUAGCUGUAUGACCCCAGUAGCUAUUGUCUUAAUGCCUUUGUCCUGGAUAUUGUCCUUUCUUGAACACACGCUACAUUGGACAAUGUCAGGUGUUUUUUUUAACCAACUAGCUAAAACGUUCUUAUUAAAUUGUUUCUUAAAGUUAGAGCAAAAUGUUAGUUGUGGAUCUAAAAUGUAGCAGCGUUUCACCUAACUAUGAUAGUGUCUGGUCAUGUGAUGUGGUUUUGAGAAGACCCAGCAGCUUUUCCUCAGCCGUAGCGUUGUUAUUGUAUUUGGUUAAGGAUUUUUAUCCUAUCCCUUUGAUAAAGUGUUUACUGGGCAUCACACGUGGUAUUCAAUACGUGGUAUUUUUGUUUGCAUGGAGUUGCAACUCCAGUACUUAUGUGAAGUAGCAGCUGUAGUGUACUGUAUGUGUGCACACCAAAGCUACACAUAAUCUACUCCCCGUGAUUUCUCCUCUUCUUUCUUCAUUUCCUUUCUAUUUUCACUCCCAACUCGUCACAUUCGGCCACUGAGUCAGGACCCCUUGGUGUCAUGUUUUUUAACACCUUAGGUACCUCUAUGGCGUCAUUUUUCAAUGUGCAGGGUAUAGUUAGGUUAAGGCAACAAAACCACUUUGCUAGAUAUAGGAAAAGAUUGUGGUUUGGGGUAAAAUAACUAUGUUUGUUACCCAAGGUUAGGGUUAGCCCUUAAUCCAAAGUUUGUUAUGUAACUUACGUGUGUAAUGUUGGUUAAGUAUGUUACGUACGUAACUUACAUAGGUUGAGUAUGUAAUGUACGUUAAAAUAAGUUGUUGUUGACUUUUGGGACACAUUUACAGGACAUGAACAGCGGUCUAUUCCUAACAAUGUUUUCUCCAAAGUGCACUUUUCCGCUUUUCCAUUUUUAUCCUGCCUACACAAACCUUUUCACUCUUCAGGCUGUGUCAUCUAACUGCGCCGGUCAAACAGUUGAAAGCCCGGUGAGUCUCACGCAAACACUUAAAGUUGCCUUGUGCGUCAGACAUUGAGGGACUUUGACCAAGCUGCCGUAUUUGACGAGUUGAGGGUUGUCCUUUCACAGAUGCUAAUAGAACCCAGGACGAUCCAAGAUAAUCCUUCACAGUAUUGAUGUGUUCAUGAGUGUACACACAUAUUUUUUCUUAAAUACUAUGUAUUCUUCUUACUGACGUAUCCUAAAUACUACUUUCUAAGAGUGUAGCCACAUUUCUGAAUGUAUCUCUGACAGUGAGUGUCUUAUGAACAUCCUUAUGAACUAUUUAUGUAUUGUCUAUUUUGGGUAUAUGGCAAACUCUCUCAAAGCUGCCUUUUUUUUCUUUUUUUUCUUUGUCUCAAUAGCUCUCUGGUUGUAAUGAUUUCAAGUAUGUUGCUGUGAGUGUUAAUUGUAACCUUGUCAUUCCAAAAUGAGACAUAGCCAUUUGAAGAAACUGACAGGUCAAAGUAACAGGUACCUUUAAAGUGAAGCACAUUGUAGGUUAUACAAAAACGUGCUCUGCUCUCUCACCCUACACAAUCAAAUUGCAUAUGGUAUUUUUUUUUUUUGCCAAACUUUAAUAAUUACCUGGUUUUGGAGUGAAACUAUUACGUGGCUUAGGUGAUUGUGGUCUAUUUGCUUUGAGUUUAUUGGUAUGGCCCAGUUUUUCUCUGAGUGCCUUUUACUUGCAACAUCAGUGUUUCCCUGUAAGGUGUGCAGGCGGUGCCGUUAAUAGAGUAGCCCAAGAGGGGCUGAAAUAUUUUAGUUUAUUUUAGUCCUGUUGGUCUUUUUUAGCGUUAUGAUGUACAUGAAAAUACCUUAAAUUCCAAUGUGAUACUGUUCCUUUAGUAAAUAGCCAGAGAUAACAAAUAUAUAUUUAUUAAAAAGUUUAUUUUUUGUCUCUCCUAAGUGUGUAAAUUGUUCUGUUGUUUACUGUAAGCUGCAGAAGCAGUGGAGUAAAUUCAAAAGUCCGUUUUUGAA